GCCGGCAUAGCUCAGAUGGUAGAGCAGCGCACUUGUAAUGCGAAGGUCCCGAGUUCGAUUCUUGGUGCCGGCACCA
rnacentral:tRNA from 4 species